UGAGUGUUAUGAUGUUGGUUAUGUUAACUAAGUCUAGCUCCAAAGCUUUCGCGCUACUUUUCGGGAAUG
rfam:Lactobacillus mellifer strain Bin4 genomic scaffold Bin4_scaffold1, whole genome shotgun sequence.